AGAGAGCGAGAAGCUAGAUUGGUUGUUAAUGGCGGGAGGCUCGGUGGCGUCGUUGGGGGGAGUGAGCCCUGGCUUGGUGAGGGUCGUCCUCUUGUUGAUGGGGCUGGGAGCCUGGGACUCGCCGGACACAUAGUCAGACCCCCUCUAUAUUGGCACCUCGCCGAAGCCCUCGGCCGCUCCUCCGCCUGCUCCCCUUGCAUCUGCGACUGCUCCUCCCAGCCUCUCCUCUCCAUCCCC
rnacentral:lncRNA from 1 species